rnacentral:rRNA from 1 species
CCAGACUCCUACGGGAGGCAGCAGUGGGGAAUAUUGCACAAUGGGCGCAAGCCUGAUGCAGCGACGCCGCGUGAGGGAUGACGGCCUUCGGGUUGUAAACCUCUGUUAGCAUCGAAGAAGCGAAAGUGACGGUAGGUGCAGAGAAAGCGCCGGCUAACUACGUGCCAGCAGCCGCGGUAAUACGUAGGGCGCGAGCGUUGUCCGGAAUUAUUGGGCGUAAAGAGCUUGUAGGCGGUUGGUCGCGUCUGCUGUGAAAGGCCGGGGCUUAACUCCGGUUUUGCAGUGGGUACGGGCUAACUAGAGUGCAGUAGGGGAGACUGGAAUUCCUGGUGUAGCGGUGGAAUGCACAGAUAUCAGGAGGAACACCGAUGGCGAAGGCAGGUCUUUGGGCUGUAACUGACGCUGAGAAGCGAAAGCAUGGGGAGCGAACAGGAUUAGAUACCCUGGUAGUCCAUGCCGUAAACGUUGGGCACUAGGUGU